GUUAUUUCGGGGGGGCUGUGCUUGCGGCGUCACGGCUCGCAGGCGGUUUCUUAAGUCUGAUGUGAAAGCCCCCGGCUCAACCGGGGAGGGUCAUUGGAAACUGGGAAACUUGAGUGCAGAAGAGGAGAGUGGAAUUCCACGUGUAGCGGUGAAAUGCGUAGAGAUGUGGAGGAACACCAGUGGCGAAGGCGACUCUCUGGUCUGUAACUGACGCUGAGGAGCGAAAGCGUGGGGAGCGAACAGGAUUAGAUACCCUGGUAGUCCACGCCGUAAACGAUGAGUGCUAAGUGUUAGGGGGUUUCCGCCCCUUAGUGCUGCAGCUAACGCAUUAAGCACUCCGCCUGGGGAGUACGGUCGCAAGACUGAAACUCAAAGGAAUUGACGGGGGCCCGCACAAGCGGUGGAGCAUGUGGUUUAAUUCGAAGCAACGCGAAGAACCUUACCAGGUCUUGACAUCCUCUGACAACCCUAGAGAUAGGGCUUUCCCUUCGGGGACAGAGUGACAGGUGGUGCAUGGUUGUCGUCAGCUCGUGUCGUGAGAUGUUGGGUUAAGUCCCGCAACGAGCGCAACCCUUGAUCUUAGUUGCCAGCAUUCAGUUGGGCACUCUAAGGUGACUGCCGGUGACAAACCGGAGGAAGGUGGGGAUGACGUCAAAUCAUCAUGCCCCUUAUGACCUGGGCUACACACGUGCUACAAUGGACAGAACAAAGGGCUGCGAGACCGCAAGGUUUAGCCAAUCCCACAAAUCUGUUCUCAGUUCGGAUCGCAGUCUGCAACUCGACUGCGUGAAGCUGGAAUCGCUAGUAAUCGCGGAUCAGCAUGCCGCGUGAAUACGCUCCCCCGGGUCUA
rnacentral:rRNA from 1 species